UACGGGGGGGGCAAGCGUUGUUCGGAAUUACUGGGCGUAAAGGGUUUGUAGGUGGCUUGUUAAGUCAGACGUGAAAUCCCUCAGCUUAACUGGGGAACUGCGUCUGAUACUGGCGAGCUUGAGUGCAGGAGAGGAACGCGGAAUUCCAGGUGUAGCGGUGAAAUGCGUAGAUAUCAAGUGGAACACCAGUGGCGAAGGCGAGUCCCUGGACAAUACCUGACACUGAGGCACGAAAGCUAGAGGAGCAAACAGG
rnacentral:rRNA from 1 species